AUGACCAUGCAUUCCUGUUCAUCGUUCUCCUUCAACGAACCGCGAUCGCUUCCGUUCGUCACUCCAACAUCUCCGGAAGAACUGUCUGGUGCUUCAACGGUGCCGAUCCAUGAUAGAAAACCAAGAAAUCUCGCUCCAGUGUUGUUGAUGUUGUUAUUAGAGUUUUUGCGAUUAUUUUUUGAUGUAGGCAGAUUUGGAGCAAUUUGA